rnacentral:rRNA from 1 species
ACUGGUUGCCCAAUGACCCUAAGCAGGGUUGGGCUUGGCCAGUACCUGGAUGGGAGAACUCCAGGGAAAACUAGGUUGCAAGCAGGA